AGCGAACGCUGGCGGUAGGCCUAACACAUGCAAGUCGAACGGCAGCACAGUAAGAGCUUGCUCUUACGGGUGGCGAGUGGCGGACGGGUGAGGAAUACAUCGGAAUCUACUUUUUCGUGGGGGAUAACGUAGGGAAACUUACGCUAAUACCGCAUACGACCUACGGGUGAAAGCAGGGGAUCUUCGGACCUUGCGCGAUUGAAUGAGCCGAUGUCGGAUUAGCUAGUUGGCGGGGUAAAGGCCCACCAAGGCGACGAUCCGUAGCUGGUCUGAGAGGAGGAUCGGCCACACUGGAACUGGGACACGGUCCGGACUCCUACGGGAGGCAGCAGUGGGGAAUGUUGGACAAUGGGCGCAAGCCUGAUCCAGCCAUACCGCGUGGGUGAAGGCGGCCUUCGGGUUGUAAAGCCCUUUUGUUGGGAAAGAAAAGCAGCAGGUUAAUACCCCGCUGUUCUGACGGUACCCAAAAAAUAAGCACCGGCUAACUUCGUG
rnacentral:rRNA from 1 species